UCCUCCCUAGGUUAAUUUUGUUAAUCCAUUGGUUUGUGGGGCCGGGGAUCUAAUAUUUUAGGGGCGGAA
rnacentral:tRNA from 1 species